UGCCUACGGCUCUAGAAAAAAAGGAAAUGUUAUACAAUGCGCAUAUAUAGUGGGACAUUAAUCUAACAGGACACAGAAAACGUGCCGUCAAAUACUCUCACGAAAAUUGAGAAUUUGAAUAAGAAUUCAUCUACACAAAGGUCCAAUGGACAACGCUGUGCCAGUUUCCACAUCAAACUCCGGUACCGGCAAUCGCCGGUCACGGCCACGCUAUAUGUUCUGUAGCUGCUUCAGGCGCUGUUGUCGCUGUUUCUGCUGCUUCUACUCCUACCCAUGAGAUACCUUAAUCAGUGUUUUAAUUUUAUAUCUGCUUGUACAUAUAAGUGCGCCUUUCAGUAUACAAAAGUGUUGUAUGAUAUGGUCAAUUACUGAACUGAAAUCAAUUUUAGUUUUGUAUUAAAGCUUUUCAUCCUUUUGGUGAAUCAAAAAUUAAGUUGAUGAUCUUAUACCUUUUGUUGACUGUGUUGAAAUACUUUUAUUAUAAGCUAUGUUAAUGUCAGCGGACAACUGAAAAGAAGUUGGAUUGGUAGGUAUAGAAUUAGGAGACAAUUGAUGUUCUUUCCGUGUUUUACUGUAUGGAUGCUGAAAAUGGAAUUUACAUAUGGUGACUACUUGAGUUAUAUGUUCUCAUGUGCAUUUUGGUUAUGAAAUCUCUCCAUAUAUCCAAUAAAAGGUUGCAGAAAGAAAAUUUCUUUAACUGCUGGGAUGUUUGGCUCUUUGUAAAUAUAUGAAUGUCAUUGAUAUAUACACACUCAAAAUCAAUGUAUAUGCUAUGUUAUAAGCUUCAAUGUCCUGUCUAAAUUCUAAAUCUUUGUGUUGAAGUAGACAAGUGAUCCAAUUGUUUUUUGGUUCAAUAAGGAGACAAAUGGUCGGUAUAUAGUUUCUUCAAUUAGGAAUCAAGCCAUGAGUCUGUAACUGCUUUUUAUAUGUGAAAAAUUUCUUGUCCGCAUUAGCGACGGGCAAGUGGAGAGUAUCAUUAAAUGGAAUCAAAAUCAAGUGUCAAUAGUUAUGUCAAGGUUCCGAGCAGUUAUUUGAUGUUAGAAUAGUUGUUGAUGUAUCUUAAGUAGUGUGGAUACAAGCAUAAAGCCAAAGAUUUAUGUUGAAGAUAGAAGAUGGAUGGCAUGUAUGCAUGACCUAGCAGGCAUCUUUAGCUGCUGAGGUAUGUGGUGCUGUUCCUACUAGUAGUUUUAUAUGCAUUUCUAAAGAUAAACGUAUAUGUGGGAUAACAUACUAUUGCACUGCUAUACCUAUAUCAGCUGAAAUGGACUAGUAAGGCGUACCCGGUCGUUGUGGUUUGAACCAAAGAUGUGAUUUACUCUAGUGAGAGCUACCAAUCUGAGAUGUUUCAGAACUUCAAUUUUGCAUUCUUUCAACUGUAAGUUGACUUUUUAGCUGAAAUUAUAUUCUAGCAAUCUCACCGAUAGCUUCUUUUGUUUCUUUGUUGUAAUUUAGGGAGGUGUUUUCCCUUUCAUAGGAUCCAAGUGCAGGUGUGGGGUGUGGGAUGUGGGAGAAGGGUGACAAAGGAGCUUUCUUUUCAUCAUUGGAACCAUUCAGGCACUAUGACUGUUGCAGCAAAAUGCAUAGAAGUCCAUGAGACAACAAGGAUAUUGUCGAACUCUGCUGCAAGAUCUUCCGUAUAAAUUAGCUGAAAGUUCAAAUUUCAACCUCCCUGUUUGAUUUUGUUUCGCCCUCGUCUAUAUGUCACUGUUGUACUCUUGUAGUGUAAAUGCUACCAGAAUUCAUAGUUAUCCAUCUUUUCAUCGCAGGGUUCAUAUGCAAGGUAGAUUAUUCUCCUCGCACUGAAGUACUUUAAUAUGCAAGGUAAAUCUACAGCUGUAUGUUUAAGGAUCAAGGUGUGACAGGAAGCAUAUUAUUGCAUUCAUUCAAGUCUGACUCAUUUACGAAUGCUUUGAUCUCUUAUCUAAGUUGCCUCACAUUAUUGCACUUUUCCCUUUCAGUUUGACCUCUUUUGGGCUUUUGCCAUGCCAGUUAUGAACUGUGUCUGCAUUUGCUUUCUUAGAGUUAGUGGUCCUCUCCAGUUCAAUCCUAGCUGGUUGCUAUUGAUGAAGAAUACGAAAAUCUUUGAUGCUUUACUACUAGUUCUAUAUAUUUGCUUUCUAUCUAUUUUUUCGCGAGGUGCCAUAAAAGAGAGUGAUUAUCCAGGAUGUUACCUACAGAUUGUUCCUUGUAUUUAUUCUGUGUCCCCUUAUACGCUGGCUUGACUGCUAGUUCAAGUCGCUGUUUGAUUAUCUUUUUGUCUUUUCUA